UACGGAGGGGGCUAGCGUUGUUCGGAAAUACUGGGCGUAAAGCAAACGUAGGCGGCUUGGCAAGUCAGGGGUGAAAUCCCGGAGCUCAACUCCGGAACUGCCUUUGAAACUGCUUGGCUUGAAUCCUGGAGAGGCGAGUGGAAUUCCGAGUGUAGAGGUGAAAUUCGUAGAUAUUCGGAAGAACACCAGUGGCGAAGGCGACUCGCUGGACAGGUAUUGACGCUCAUGCACGAAAGCGUGGGGAGCAAACAGG
rnacentral:rRNA from 1 species